UACGUAGGGGGCAAGCGUUGUCCGGAAUUAUUGGGCGUAAAGGGCGCGUAGGCGGCCUCUGCAAGUCGACUGUGAAAUCUCCGGGCUUAACCCGGAACGGUCAGCCGAUACUGCAGGGCUAGAGUGCAGAAGGGGCAACCGGAAUUCUCGGUGUAGCGGUGAAAUGCGUAGAUAUCGAGAGGAACACCUGCGGCGAAGGCGGGUUGCUGGGCUGACACUGACGCUGAGGCGCGAAAGCUAGGGGAGCGAACGGG
rnacentral:rRNA from 1 species